rnacentral:rRNA from 1 species
GACGAACGCUGGCGGCGCGCCUAACACAUGCAAGUCGAACGAGCGAGAGAGAGCUUGCUUUCUCGAGCGAGUGGCGAACGGGUGAGUAACGCGUGAGGAACCUGCCUCAAAGAGGGGGACAACAGUUGGAAACGACUGCUAAUACCGCAUAAGCCCACGGUGCCGCAUGGCACAGAGGGAAAAGGAGCAAUCCGCUUUGAGAUGGCCUCGCGUCCGAUUAGCUAGUUGGUGAGGUAAUGGCCCACCAAGGCGACGAUCGGUAGCCGGACUGAGAGGUUGAACGGCCACAUUGGGACUGGGACAAGGCCCAGACCCCUACGGGGGGCAGAAGGGGGGAAUAUUGCACAAUGGGGGAAACCCUGAGGCCGCGACGCCGGGGGGAGAAAGAAGGUCUUCGGAUUGUAAACUCCUGUUUUUGGGGAAGAAAAUGCCGGUACCCAAAAAGGAAGUGCCGGCUAACUACGU